rnacentral:lncRNA from 1 species
UUUUUUUUUUUUUUUUUUUUUUGGCUUCUGAAGUGUUAGUGUGAGAACCUAGAAAUACUCCUCCAGGGCUCAAAGCAGCCCUUUACCUAAGACAUUAUUUUUACUGCAGGGUUGCAACCGUCUCAUAUGAAAAAGUAAAUAUUUAAGUGACUAAGCAACAUUUUAUGAAAGGGUAGGGAACUGCUCCAAGGGAAAGAAAACGAGUUGUCUUUACACCCACUUUUUGGAGUUGCGAGCUUGCUUCCUAACCUGAAGGGUUUGCCCUUGGUCUUGGAGCGUGGUGGUGAUUUUGCCCUGAAGAACCUCGCAAGCUCCAUCUCAACACUGGCCGGCGUUUCAGCGAUAAUGCACCUGACGCUCAACAUUAAUAACCUCAAGAAGCACCGUAUGUGCUGUGGUUUAUACUCGCAUUUGUUAUGAAAAUGGUGACUUGCUCUUAGCCUGGCCUAUUUCUGUAGUGCUCGGGCCCCUUGGCCUUCUCUGGUUCCCGAGGCUGGUGUCAUUAACCAGGAUGGGGGCGUUACCAGAAAAACACCACAGGAAGGCAGAUUCCAUUACAGUGACCUGCAUAGGGGUAUCCCAGUGUCCUGGUAUGAGAAUCUGCUGGUAAUGGUAGCUGGUAGAAAUCACAGCAUAGCCCAGAACCGCUGUAGAGGAUGGCGUUCUGAGUCAGAAACUGUGGUGGGGGAACGGGGGACCUAGUUGUCAUGCAAUCCGGGCAAGGGAAUUCCUUCGCAGGAGCUGGUCUCAGUUGGAUAUUAAAAGGUGCCUGUUCCGUCCAAAGCAGUGUCCUGAGUCCGUAGGCCACUCAGAUUGAGAAACACACACACACAGAAGCUGAGAUUAAGUCAAACUGCCCCAAGGGAGGGACCCAGGCAGAAAUCUUGGCUCCUUGGCAAGCCACUCUCAAAAUCCAGAUUAACGAGGAAAACUACAAAAUCAACAACUGUCAGAUUGCCUUUCUGUAUGAUUUAAAGGUGGUUGCCAGACUCUUCUCUUUGAACAUGUACGAAGUGACAAUCAGAUGUUGGAGGGCUUCUCCCCUCCUCCUCCCAACGUAGUAAAUGACUCUUAUGUGGACAGGAACUGGGGAAUUGACAGCAGCAUUGUGUUAAAGCUUCAGGAGCAGUGCCACAACUUGAAUGCUUUUUUUCUGCUUUUCAUUUUUGGGGGCAGGGGACAAGAUGGUGAGAACAAGGCAAGUGUGUUUCUGGCGAAUUCUUUGCCCGAGGAAGGUGGCUUGGUCUAUAUGUCACUUCGAAAGGGGAUUUUUCCUUAGAUGUUUCUGCUCUUCCUUCACCCUUAAUUCCUAGAGUUUCUUGCUUUUUUUCUUUUUUCUUUUUCCCUUUCUUUCUUUUCUUUUUUUUUCUUUCUUUUUCUUUUUUUUUUCUUUUUUUUUGGUAAGGAUAAGGUAUGAAUAAAAAUGGGGAAAGAGACAUAGAAAGUUUGCUAGGUGGCGAAGUUGGCUUCGUUUCAGAAUAGGACUUGUGAUUUGUUGGUUCGAAGCCCAGGCAGGGCCUCUGAGCUAAACGCCUGUGCUUAAUCUGCCUUUUGGGUGAGCCCUUCUCCCUUCCCACGGGAGGGUCAAUGUCUGGUCUUGUCAACACGAGGAUUAAUGCAUGGAGGGUUUGAUGGGCUGGCCUCUUGCGUCCUGGGUGGGUGGGGGGCUCUCAGGUGGUUCUGCUGCUCAGUCUUUGCAUUUUGGUAUGGUCACCUGUGCCGCCGCCAAGAUUUUUUCCAUCCUCUUCCCUCCCUGAAGUCGGCCCAGGACUUCCAGGGCAGGGAGAAGCGGGGUGUGUGGAACAGGUGCUCCCUCCCACCCACCGCCCCUUCUGGCUGCUGCAGGUUGGGACUGACCCCCCCCCCCCCNNNNNNNNNNNNNNNNNNNNCUCCUUGUGAAGAUGGGGAAACCCCAGGCCUCUCUCCUCCCAUUCUGCUAAUCACAUAAUGGCCUUAAAGGCUUUCUCAAAUGAUUAUCUUGUCUUUAAUUUUAAGUGGGUCUUUUGGGGCAGCAGUUGGGCGUUUAUGGAGUAUCUUCUGUCAUCUGUAGGCAGACUCUGAACUGGGAAAACUGGCCCCAUUGGAUGCUGUGAAAAGACAGUGGAAUUUUCAUCUGCUGCCGAUUUCACGCACCGUCCCAAGAGUGAUUCCGGCCACAAACCUUUGAUCUGGGAACCUCCUCCUCUGUGUGUGUGUGUGUGUGUUGGGGGGGUCAGCUAAAGAGAAGUGCUGAAGUAUUUGGGGGGGGCAUUCUUUGGAGGUAGGCAAAAAGCAGUUUUGCCGGGUUCUGGAUUUGCCUCAUUUUAUCCAGGAAUGCAGCUGGAGAAAACCGCUCCUAAGUCUCUUGGUUGAACUAGAUCUUGAAUGAGAACUGUUGCCUGUUGUGGCUCUGUUCUUGGCUCUGCUUUUCCGCAUUAAAAUUCCAGUUCACAGGUGGCUCUCUGUCUCCUUCACGGAGCGUCUCGAGCAGAGAGGCCUAAGGAUGAGCUGGGUGAAGAAAGGACUGUGAGGCUUAUUUGGAUGCUUGAUUUCAGGCCUCCGCAUCCUGCCCCCUCUGCCCCAAAGUCACAUACGUGCCUGGUGACAUGGGGAAGUCUCGAUGCAGUAGAUACACAACUCUCUUCAGAAGACUUUAAACUCCUGUAAGCCUAUAAAAAAGUGCAUGUGUGCAGCCAGGCAGUUACUCUCUUUCCACACCUAGGGUUUCUGAGCAGCCUCUCUUGGAUAACCUUUCCUGACGUCUUUUCCAGUGAAAAUACACUGCAGACACAUGUGCACCUUUGGUUUUCUCCUUUUCAGCAACUUUCCUCUUUUUUUAAAAAAACAGCUUUUCUUAACUGCUCAAGAAACAGUGCAAGCCUCUUCCACCGUUUCAGGCCCUCUUCCUAAAAUGCUCUUUGGCUCAGGGCCUUGGUUCUUAAUGUACAUUUGGCUGGUGAGGGGAGUGGUUUUUGCUUCCCUUGUAGCAUCACUGCAUUUCUCCGUGGAACAUCUGCGUCCUUGCUGAAGCACCAGGUCAACUUUUGGACCUUAAAGAAGAGGCCUGGGCAUUCAGUGAGUGUUAGAAGUUUGAUGUCCCUUGCAAAAGCAGCUGCUUUCACAUGCCACCUCUGCUCUGCCAGGUUUUCGAAUGGUGUCACUUUUACACCUGAUACAUAAUGAUUGUCCAGAGAUGCUGGUCCAUCUGUGUCCCUGGCUCUGAGCACCUGAGCGCACCUGCCUUACUUUUAAAAUGUAGUGGCAGGAAAAGAAUGGCAGGAGUGAACCUAACACGGGUUCUCCCCUCCCCCCACUUUUUCAAAGAGCAGCUUGAAGCUGGUUUUUCCUGCAACAGGUAUGAAACCAGAGGUAGAGGCAUCUCUGGGGGGAGCAGAGGCCUUUUACACCUUGUGGGGAAGGGCCGUCAGUUUACUUUUUGCUUCCUGGGGAAUCUGACGUUUGUCCAGACACGGGAGAUGAUGCUGGCCGAUAAAGGAGGUCCUGGUGCAGACUCCUCUGUGUCUGAUUGGAGGGCGGUGUGGUCUCGCUCAUUAGUGGAAGGAGUGAGAUAGUCACAGAAUCCAGAGUGCCGCUUUAUGAGUCACUCUUGAAACCGGGGUGCUGGUGUUCACACUCUGUUUCCAGGGAGAAGCAGAGAUGCAUCAAAUGAGCCUGCUCUUGGGAAAGUUGGCUUUUGUUCUCCACUCUGCCUUAGCCCGGACCCCUCUGUUGGGGUCACAAGCGUGAGGCCUGUCUUUGUUCCAGCCGAGCGGUGCGGCCGUGGACCCACCACGCAACCUCUCUGAGCCGUAUGCCUUCCUUCCUCUGUACCGUGGGUGCCAGGCACAGCUCCCACGUACGAUGGGGAUGAACCGGAGGAGAAGACCAGUCUUCCCAGUGCGGGGUCAGUCGCCUCUCCACCGAAGUUAGUUCCCAGCUGCACGUCCUGCGCUUUGUGUUUCUUUUGUCCCUGCCGGUGGCCUCUGCUCCCCUUUGUGUCCCAGCACCCUGGAAGAAAGAAACUACAGGUCCAGCGUUUCUCCGGCUCUUCCCUUAGGGGCUGGGAAUCAGGCCAGCUCUUCGUGACAUCCUGCAACUGUGUUCAGGAGUGAAAGGGUCUGAAAUAGACGCUGUGUCCCUGUCCUCCCCAGCCCUCCCCUCACGUGCUUCCCCCCCCACCCCCGCCGCCCCCCCAAGCUGGCAGGCGGCCUUCUAAGUGAGCAGCCCACUCAAUGACCCACCUAGAGAGGCCUUCCCGGGCUGGCUUGUAUAUGCUAAUAGGCCUGACUUGUCCUGGCUUGUUUGUAGUGAUUUGUGGAGGCAUUUAUAUGCAAAUACUAUCAACUUGCUGAGUUAAUUAUCAUGUGCCCUCCCCCUACCCCUUCCUGCGGAGCCUCCCAGCCUGGCUCCGCCAAAGGGGCCGUCUCAUUCAUCCCUGAGCUCUUCCUGUCUUGGCCUCCUCCAUCCGCUGCCCUGUCCCCUUCCUGUCCCCGCAGGCCCGAUCGCAGCUCCUCCACUGCUCCGCCACCCGGAACGGAACCUGUGUGGUCAGGGCUGGGGAGCUGGGCAUGCUGCUGGCUCGCCCCAUGCCAAGCCUCCUUGAGAGGUGUCCCUCUGCGGCCCGGGAGCGCCAGCUCACGUUGCCCUGAGCUUUGAAACCCCGUUUUUUCUAGCCCAGAACCUCAGAAGCAGCUCCCCAGACCUUUCAGCCCUUGAAACUCAGGCCUCGUGCUGGUGACAAAGUGAACGUGCUUCUAACAUCAGUAUUAUCACCGUCAUUUCCCCACGUUGUGAAUUCCUCCACAGCCUGUUCCCAAUUCUGAGCCCGGCAGAGGGGCCAUUUUGCAAAGGGAUGCCCGCCUCCCCAGCCGCCUGCCCCUGGAAACCCGAGCAUUAAACGUGUGAAGUCCUGGCCCUCAGACCCAGCUGCUGCCAGGCCGUGUGGGGGCCCAGUUGAUGUUUGGGGUGGGAGGGCUUUGCGUUGGAGGAGCGAGGGUCCCCGACUUCUCCGGGUCAGAUGCCAGUAGUACUCGCCCCCAUCCCCUCUCCCAAUCAGAAACGUCUCCAGCAGUUGCCCACUGUCUCCUGGGGAGGCAGAAUUGCCCCCGUUUCAGAACCCCUGGGGUCGACUGCCUGCAUGUCUCUUGGAUAAAAAGAUGGCAGGUUCCUGGCGCCUCCAAGUUAGAGCAUCCUCUGAGAUGAUGCGACCUACCUGUUGGCCGAUGUUGCCAUUUGCUUGGUCUUAGGGCCUUGUUAGCAUUUAAAAAUGAAGACUCUUUCCUUGUAGGGCAUGGUGAUGGGCUGGCAUCUGAGGUCAUAACAUUUUGUCCCCCAGAGUGCCACCCCAUAGAAGUAGGAACUCAGGCCCCACGUGGAAUUGUACAUUCUCUAGGUGUCACAUUAAUAAACAGUGAAGAAAAAAAAAAACCCAGGUGGGAUGACGUUUAAAAUAUAUAUAUAUAUAUAUUUAUUUAUUUUUUGCUUAACCCGGAACAUCGCCGUGACCUUCUCAUUUCAGCAGCUGGGACUCGCCAGGGCCCAGGGGGCGCCUGCGGGCGGUGGCUGCCAGGUCGGCCCGCUCAGCUCUAGCAAGGAUGAUGCUGGCCCUCGUCACUGGCUGUGGACUCCAGCCAUUUUCUACAGUUCCCGAGUCUGGGGGGAAGUUUUUUUCUCCUUUCC